rnacentral:tRNA from 1 species
GGCCGCGUAGCGCAUGCAGUAGAGCGCCGCCCAGAAAAUGCGGAGGAACAGGCGCAAGUCCUGUCGUGGCCACAA